rnacentral:sRNA from 1 species
AGCGGAAGGGGGCAAUCUAAGAACGCCACGUCCUGUGGCAACGAUUGCAUGACCAACGUCCUGUUGC